UGGGGAAUAUUGCACAAUGGGCGCAAGCCUGAUGCAGCCAUGCCGCGUGUGUGAAGAAGGCCUUCGGGUUGUAAAGCACUUUCAGCGGGGAGGAAGGCGAUAAGGUUAAUAACCUUGUCGAUUGACGUUACCCGCAGAAGAAGCACCGGCUAACUCCGUGCCAGCAGCCGCGGUAAUACGGAGGGUGCAAGCGUUAAUCGGAAUUACUGGGCGUAAAGCGCACGCAGGCGGUCUGUCAAGUCGGAUGUGAAAUCCCCGGGCUCAACCUGGGAACUGCAUUCGAAACUGGCAGGCUGGAGUCUUGUAGAGGGGGGUAGAAUUACAGGUGGAGGGGUGAAAUGCGUAGAGAUCUGGAGGAAUACCGGUGGCGAAGGCGGCCCCCUGGACAAAGACUGACGCUCAGGUGCGAAAGCGUGGGGAGCAAACAGG
rnacentral:rRNA from 1 species